CCCCUGGUAGUAUAUCGGUUAGUACACGCAGCUAUCAUGACCAGUUUGAACCUUCUUCUUCAAGUGAAUGCGAAAUCUGGGUUCGACUCCCAGCCGGGGGU